rnacentral:lncRNA from 1 species
CCCACACCCCAACACACCCACGACACACACACACACACACACACACACACACACACACAUCCAUACAUCAAGCAUAGUUGCAGCUCCCAGACUGAGUGCCUGGCCUGGGAACAGGGUGGCAGGGAAGGGAGGGGGCGGGGACAGUGGUCACCCGCUGAACGUGCAUCAGCGUCUGUACUCAGCAGGACCGUGUGUCUCUUCAGCAACCCCUGGUGCGACUGAGAGGCGGUGCCUACAUCGGGGAGGGCCGCGUGGAGGUGCUCAAAAAUGGAGAAUGGGGGACCGUCUGCGACGACAAGUGGGACCUGGUGUCGGCCAGUGUGGUCUGCAGAGAGCUGGGCUUUGGGAGUGCCAAAGAGGCAGUCACUGGCUCCCGACUGGGGCAAGGGAUCGGACCCAUCCACCUCAACGAGAUCCAGUGCACAGGCAAUGAGAAGUCCAUUAUAGACUGCAAGUUCAAUGCCGAGUCUCAGGGCUGCAACCACGAGGAGGAUGCUGGUGUGAGAUGCAACACCCCUGCCAUGGGCUUGCAGAAGAAGCUGCGCCUGAACGGCGGCCGCAAUCCCUACGAGGGCCGAGUGGAGGUGCUGGUGGAGAGAAACGGGUCCCUUGUGUGGGGGAUGGUGUGUGGCCAAAACUGGGGCAUCGUGGAGGCCAUGGUGGUC